CCUGAGGCCAAUAACUAUAAGGACUUUAUAAUAAUCCAGAGUCAAACUCAAUUUCUCACCUGGCUGCUGCCUCCUGUGUUCCAUCAGCAAUCUGAAAUACUGAAGUCAAGAACAGCAAAUGGGCCUUGCAGCACCUGGGGUGCAACAAGCAGGGUGCUGGGGAGACUGCCUUUUACUGUGUUCCACUAGAGUAUACAGAAUGGAGGGUGGCAGUUCUAUGGGAUAGGAAAGCUUCUCAAUCCCUUUGAUCUGAGUGGAAAAACAAAAGAGCUGGCAGCAAUCUGGAGUGAGUUAAGGGCCAGGGGCUAAAGAGCAGGGUGGUUUCAUGAUUACAAGCUUCUUUUGUGGGUAGAAUGUUUGUAGCAAGUUUAUCUGCAAGACCCACAGGGACCUCAGCAAUGACACAUUGUGGGGUAGAUUGGGAAGCCAGAUUAUGUCAUCACAGAGCUGGAGCACUGCUCUAAGAACCAGCUGGGGCUCUGCAGGGGUGUGACAAGUGCUCUUUUGGAUGGAGGACUCAAAGAGACAACUGGCACAUUAAGCAGAUUCCAUCAUCAUUUUCCUGGCAGCACACCCACAAAGGACCAUGCUCAGCUGUCAUCUUCAAGUGUGGGAGUAGCUUCCUUCUAAGCCCUGGACUGGAAGCCACAAGAUCCAGAUGGGGACCCAGCCUCAGACAAGUGUCCAGUCGUGGAAACGAGUCAGAAACCAGGUCAGAUGGGCAGGGACAACAGGGCAGAGAAGGUUUCUGGAGGCUGAAAGUCUGAGAUCAAGGUGCCGGCAGUGUUGGCGUCUGGUGAGGGCUCUCUCCCUGGGCUGGGCCAACUUUUCACAGUGAGGAUGCUGAUGUGUUUGGCCUUGUCUCCUUCUCUUGGGGACCCAGGAUGGCUCUAGUCACAAAUCCAGAGGCCCAAAGGAUCCACAGCGAACACAGGCACUGCAGCUGACAGAAGAGCACGUGUCCUGGGCAAAGAUCCAAAAUCCCCCGAGCUCUGCAAAUUUGAACCUUGUAGGAAGGCAGCCUGGUAAGGCCUCAUCUUCUGACAUCUGGAUUUAAACAAAUUGUCCUGAUUUUUCAACAUUGGCAAUGAACCUUAAAACAUUUUAAAGCAAUGUGCAGGCUAAGCCCCAUAUUACCAGAGGCUGUCUUUGACUGGCUUGUGCUGGUGGCUGACACUCCAUGAGUACUUACCAUGCCAGGGAAAGGACCCGAAGGUCCUUUCUUUCUUCCUUUCUUUUUUUUUCUUUUGUAAUCAAUGGGUUUUAUUUUCCUAGAACUGAAAUCAUCUACAGUUCUCAGAGCUAAACUUCCAAAGCUACAGUCAGCAAUUUUUCAUCAGAGCCCAAGGAAGAGGGGUCAGGGUAAAAGAGACAAGAGGCUGAAGAGAGGCAUAGAGAGAUCAUUAGGAAGAGGGGGGGAGGGGGCACUUAUUUCCCUCUGUCCUCUCAGUAGAUUACAAAUCGGAUCUCGUGACAACACUGAGGGGACCAGGUCAAGGUAUGUGGAUGAGAAAUGACACUGGAAGGAACACCAAAGCUCCAGCUACAAAAAGAAAGUCAUCAAGCUCCAAAUAGAAGGGGAGCCUCCCAGUGCACCUCAGAAAUAGGGGCAAUGAUGUGGAAGGAUGGAGCUGGAAUCACAAGCAUGAGCCACCACACCUAGCCUGGUAUUUGCUUUUCUAAUCUCAUUUAAUUCAAAGAGAAAUUGCACAGCGCUCAGAUGUCUUUCUUAACAUUUUGGGCACUCACAUUUUUGUCCAAUAAAAUCUU